rnacentral:lncRNA from 1 species
UCCGACCAAAGACCUUGCCGGCCGUCCAGCAAACAAUCCAGCAUCCCCCUCGAACUCCAACGGGGGGAGCGUGUGCUCAAGAGAAUCAUCAGAAUCUACCCGGUCACUCCAUAGUCUGGGAGGUGCCGAGGCUGGCUCAAAGGACCCAAAAGGCAGAGUAGUCAUGGGCACCGCUGGGGAAGCUGCAGGCUCAACCCCGGUCCCAGCCCCAGGCAACUGAGAAGAACCCUUAGACCCCUCGCGCGUGGGCUGAUCGGACGGUGCCCCCUCGGCCCCGGCAUUGCCAUCACUGUCGUGCAUGUGAACAUCGUUACCAUUAUCCGCAUCAUCAAAUAAAGCAGUGUCCUCAAACUCGAUGUCUAGCGGGAACACCUCUCCCCUGUAGGUCCAGUUGACCUUAUCGGGCACGAACUCAAUAUCCAGAACACUCACUAAUAGCCGGGCCACCCCAUGGGCACGUGUGAAAGCCAUAUCCACUUUUUCUGUCUUCCCCACCAUGAUUCCCAUACUAGCCACACUCGAGCGUCCUGCAGAGGCUUAGAUGGGGCCCCUGUAAACUGCAACUAGACCUGCGUAAGCGGCUUUCCCUUAGGCUCAACUUGCUUCCACUCGUGGAACUCCAGGAUACACUUAGUAUCGGGUACUCUACAUAAGCCAAAGCUCAACAAUCUCUGCAAAUCAUCCACAGUUGGGAACUCAACCUUAAAAGACCUGUCCUCAAUAAGCACCAAUUCCCAUCGAAAAUCCCCGGGAGCCAGGUCCUGAAGCCUCCUCACAAUCUGUGCCUCAGUCACCUCGCCCUGGGUUGCUUUCACAAUCCCGGUAGUCAAGCUCAGGGUAUCCUCCGGGACCUCUCUCGCCGCCGGGGACUCAAAAAACAUGAGCUCAGCACAAUAGACUCCAUACAUAUUCAGCGUCGGAGGCAGGUCACGCAACAAUGGGCACUCCCCGAGUCAUGUGCAGGCUUGCCACACGACUCGCACAGCUGGGCCACACACUCAGCAAUGAAGUGGCCCUUCUCACCGCAACGGUAACAAAUAAUUCUCUCCUUCUUACGUGCAUAUUUGGACGCCCUGUCGGUAUCAGUCCUGUCAGUAGUCUCAUCCACCAUCCCAGCCUCAGGAACCUCGACACUAGCCAAGGUGUUAACCACCUCCAUCGCCUGGGCAGGAAGCUUAGUGGAAGUAUGGUCAGACUCCACUGCAGGCGUCGCAGGAUCAACUGCCCUGGGCGGGGGCGGUCGGCGAAAUCUUCCACGGCCCCCACCCCGACCACCACGAUGUCCUUGAAAGCCUCCUCUAUGACGGUGAUCCGGGCCAGAAGCCCCCUCGACAAAUCCACCUGCCGGACCGAGAAACGGUCUCUCAGUAGACCCGUCACUCUGCCAGGCAUAUCCGCGACCUCCUCCUGAGGAGGAAGAACCUCGAUGCCGUCCUUCCCCAUAUGCAUCAUACCCGUCAUCCCCCCACUGGCCUCGGAGCAGAUCAUUGGGCUGUUUGUUGCUAGAAUCCUGCGUCGUGAGCGUCGCACCCACACGGUUCUGAGGCGGUCUUGCGACGUAGUGGGGCGGCGGAGCGGCACGAUGCGGACCGCCCGCCGGCUUCUGCACCACCCCAGGCGCAGUACUGCCGUGGCCAGCCGGAACAACAGCAGGCACGACCGGCGCAGGCGGCCGGGGGGCAGCACGUCCCGCAGCUGGCAGGGCCACGGGCGCCCCUCCCAGCGCUGGCGGUCUCAGCCUGCCUCGCCCUGCAGCAGGUGGCAUCUGCCCCGAAGGCCGGCUACUCUGGUUGCCAGCGCCUCGGCCCGGAUGAGCCAGGGCCACCCCGCCCCCCGCCGGCGGCCUCUGACCAACAGCCGGCACUGGCGGCAAAGCCGGCCCGCCCCUUCCUGCAGAAUUGGUAUUCGGUGGAGGCGGCGGCGCAGCCCCGCGGCCUGCCAUCGCAGAGAGCGGCCGGAUCCUUCUCGCCCGCCCGGCGCCAUAGACCGGGAAUCCUCUCUUCCCUAGCCUGCGAACCCUAGAACCCUUGAGAGACGGCGCAGUACAGGAAACAUGAAUGCCCUCGUACGUGCAUGGCGUAUUGCUAUGGGCAGAAGGUCGGCCUGGUACAGCGUGGGCCUCAUACCCACCUGACCCCGGCCCAACACUUCGCGGAUCCAUCCGAACCGGCCCAGCCGACCCCAAGAGCUGAUUCAAACGAAGCUCUCUCGCCUUCGAGAUUUCGGCCGCCGACACGGCCAUCGUGGACGCCACCGGCGCCUGACGAGGGACACUCCGCCUCGCAUUCUUUCUCUUCUUCACAGUAACCCAAGACUCCGGUUGAAUCAUAUCGAAUAACGUAAGGUUUGGGAGACUCACCUUAGGUAUAGGACCUUUCCAAGGCCGUAUCGCCGACGCCGCCGUCUUGCGAUGAACGACUCGCCGGAGCAUCUCGAUCUUCUCGCCCGCGUGUAGACCGAUCCGUGCCGGAUCCUCCAGCGGCAGGACUCGAUCGAUCGUAGUGGCCACCUCAUCUUCGCUAUAACCUGACUGCAAAAAAUCGCAGAUGAUGUCUGAAGGAGUUGGAGAUAUCGGCGACUCCACCAGUGAUGCAUCUACAUCGUCGUCCGCUUCCUCCUCGUCGGAUUCGGCGAGAGCCGAAAAACGCCCGCCGACUCGCCGGCGACCACCGUUUAUGGAUGGCACCACCGCGGUCGGGCGCAUGAUCGCCCGCCCAGUCGCCCGUCCCGUUGCCAUAGCGAUUCCAGUGCGCUGCUCCAGUUUAAUCUUCCCCAAAGGCGAGGUCGCGUGUGGCUGAGCCACCGACUGCACUGGGCAUUCUUCAUCCGGAUCUUCUUUCGCCGGUGUUACCUCAACGCCCGCAUCAGCCAAAACAGAAACUCAUCCCCCGAAUUGCGGUUGUGAUCGCUUGGGAUCAUCCGUGAGAUCGAUGACCUCGGUAUGAUCAUGCGUCUCCGGAUCUUCCUGCAAGAAUGAACAAAUGGUAACAUCGAAAUAAUCAAUCAACAAACGCGUACCUUCAGAGAUCUCCUCUUCCUCGUUCAGGUAGCGGCCGCCUAGGAUAUCAUCGUCCAGGUCGCGCAGCACCAUCCAUCUCGAUGGGUAGUACGUAAAUAGGAUUCCCUCCGAUCGGAGACCGAUUGCCUGAACAUCCUCGAAGAGAAUUCUCCAUUUUGCAGGAUGCAGGAAACCCCCGAUCUGCGACGUCGACUCCGGAUCUCGUGAAUCGCCACAGUCCGGCGAUCGCGCCGGCAACUCUAUCGCCGGCGAUCCCUCGAGGGCUUCCGUCGUUGGCCUAGAUCGCUCCCCGGGGCCACCCUGGCCCCCGCCCCUCGGCGGAUGAGCCCUCAUGGACCUCAUGGACUGACCGACUGAACAAGGGCUUCCAUACAUCAUGUUGUUUUUAUUGUUGAUUUUCAUAUCCAGCCUCAUAGUCAAAGGAGAAGCAAGAAUUUAUAAAGUCGCCCCGCAAGCAAAAGCCAGAUUUCUUUUCUUUUCAGAGUUCACAUACAGCCAAGCAAUUGUUUCUUAACCAAGAAUUGCAGGGACAGAAUAAACUGCCCUUGUAGUCUGAUGCAACGUCAUUAAUUAGAAUAUUUCAAGAUAAAACGUUGUUUGUUGUCAGUAGAAAAAAUCAAGAUAGUCACUGUGGGAAUUGAAGAUCAAUGUUACAGAUUAGUAAGAAGCUUGGCGUUACUAAUGCACAUCCAAUUUCUAUGGUUACUGAUGUUAGAACUCGCGAGGCUUGGAAUGGAGCAGCGACGAAUGUGCCUUGUUGAGGAGGUCGAUGACGGUCUGCAAAUCCUGGGCAUCGAGCCAAGCCUGACCGCGACCGCCUUGCCUUAUCAUGCAGCAGGUAAGCCAUGAGGCGGCAGCCGCUUGGCUGCCACCCCUCUUCCAACAAAAGGUCGCCAGUUAUGAUUACCGUUUGUUAUAUGCAUGCAUGAGCUGUGCGUCUACAAACAAUUGUAUCUAAUAACAUCCAAAUACUCCUUUUUGACAAUAUGUGUUAUGUUGUUGGAAGGCAAACCACGCCAGGCUCUUCCUUGCCUUCCGAGAGAGAAUCGCCAAAUGUGCCACAUGCUUCUUGAAAUGUAUCAGAAUUGCAGUUUGUAUGUACCAUUUUGUUGUAUUAACGUACAUGUGAUCUCACUUUUAGAAUCGUCCGUGGAAUAAUCCUUCGGUCACUUAGUCCAACCCCAACUAGCGAUGCAUUCGUCCGAUUUUCUCCAUUUGGGUCCGUGCGGACAAAAACCGUGGCCCAACAGAAAGACCCAUUCCCAUUUUUGUUGAGUCCUUCCGGACCAAUUUCCGUCCCAAAUUUUCUCGUCAUUUGGGUUCAAAGCGGACCCAAACCGGACGUUCUUUGUGUCCUCCGCGUCCGGAUGUGUCCGCUGCUUCCAGGCCCUGGCCGGUCUGUCAUCGAAACAAGGGGGACCCACCCCACCCAUCUAUCCUCCUUCUCUCUCUCUCCCCAACGACGCGAUGGGCGUGGCGGCUCCAAUGGCGACUCGUCAGCGCAAGGUAAGGCGGGGCGGAGACACGACGGCGCAGAAAGGCAAGGCUGGUUGGCGGCGUGGGCGCUCGGGGCCACUCCGUCGCCCAGCUCCAUGGCACUGCCAGCGCACACGUGGCAACGAGCGGGCAGUCGGCGACAGACGCAGCUGAAGUGAGGGAGAUGAGCUCUGCGCCAUUGGCACGAGCGCGGGCAGCUUGUCGGAGGCAGCAUACUUGGAGAGUAGCACAAGGGCAGCGAGCCAGCGACUGCUUGAGGCCAGGAUCCGGUACAGCGUGGGGUGAUCUGAACGGUGGUGCGGUUGAGGAGGCCGGCGUCAACAGCGAUGGUUUCAGCCGUUGGCGGCGUACUACGGUGGCGGCGGUGCUCCUUCCUUCUCGAGAAGAGAAGAGAGAGGGAGGUGAGAUGAGGAAGAGAAAGAGGGAAGCAAGCAGAGCAGAAGAGAGCAGGCGGCUGCAACCUGGUGCUGUUGUGGGUCACCGGAGGAGCCAAAGGCGACCGUGCCGAGUGGCUCGGGCUGUUCUCGGGCGCGUGGAGGUGGUUUGCCGGCAUGGCCGCGGUGCUCCUCUCGGAAAGUGAUACCGAGGCUUCAACAAAACCGUGUCUGUUUCAAUUGGGUCUUCCGCGUUUGGUACAUCGGUGGUGUCCGGCUGUCCGGCCGCAUCCGGUUUCCGUUUUAGCGACCCAAAAUCCGUGUUUGUUUGGGUCGCUGCAUUGAAGUUGGCCUUGUGCUAUUCGACAAUAUGCUCAGCGCACUCUAUAACUCACAUAGCAUGCUAUUACAUGUGUCAUUGUAUUUGGUACACCGUGUGCAAUAUGUUUUUUCUGGUGACUAUAUAUCUACUAUCUAACCAAGUAUAAAGCUUCUUCAAAAGGUUUAAUCAUGUGCAUGGUGUUCCCGUGGAAAUGGAUGGGAAUCAUCUUAGUGUCUAUUAACAACUCAUACGAUAUUACUAACAUUUACAAGAAAAAACAUAAUUGAUGAGUCAUGUAUGCUUGUUCAUCUUACCAUCAUAUUACACAAAACUACGAAGUUAGUUUAGAAAGAAGCAGUCUAGAACAAUCUUCACAUUAAUAGCAUGAUCUGUCUUAACAACGCCAAGCAAGACUACAAACUUAGUUCCCCACAAGCUAUGCCAACCUGGAUGUGCCUAACAACUUGUAGAACAUUAUGAACUUAGUUUUAGAAAGGGGAUGUAAUCUAGAUAAGUGUUUUGCAUGUAAAAUGAAUAUGAUGAGUCAUUUGGAUUAUCAAGCUUUCCUGACACUCCAUGGAUGUGUGCUACCAGAAAGCAACUUUGGCGAUCAAUCCAAAAAUUACACUUGUAAGUAGCGCCACCGAACAAAACAUACCAAAGAAUCAGUUUGAUACGAGUAGAGGAACUUUACAAGAAAGCAAAUGUGAAGACGAAGAGAAAUCAUUUCAUGGCCGCUAUAAAUAGCCAUACACCAUGAAGACCCCCUCCCAUCCUCCAUCCUUCACACAUUUGGAGCACAAACAUUCACACUAAACAAUCAAGAGUAACCAAAAAUCCACCAUGAAGAUCUUCUUGGUCUUUGCCCUCCUCGUUGUAUCAACGAUCAUCACCACCGCGACCGCGCAGCUCGACCCUAGCAUCCAUGUACAAGAAAGGCCACAACAAUCGUUUCCGCAGCAGCAACCACUUACCCAACAACAACCAUUCCCGCUGCAAGAGCCACAACAACCACUAUUCCAGCAACAACAACCGUAUCCACAACAGUCACUUCGCCAACAACAACUUCCCCAGCAACAUUUAUUUCCGCAGCAACCGCCGCAACAACAAUUUCCAUAGUAGAUGCCACUUCCGCAUCAACAACAAAUAUUCCCGCAACAACAACAACCCCCACAACAACAACCAUUUUACCAAUAUCAACAACCAUUAACACAACAACCAUACACGCGAGAGCAACCAUUGCCACAACAACAACCUUCUGUGGAGGAAAACCAACAAUUGAACUUGUGCAAGGAGUUCCUGCUGCAGCAGUGCAACCCGGAGGAGAAAGUGUCAUUACUGCAGUCAAUGAUCCCGUUCCUCCGACCAAAGACCUCGCAACAGAACAACUGCCAGUUGAAGCGGCAACAAUGUUGUCGACAACUUGCACAUAUCAGCGAGCCGUCCCGAUGUCCGGCCAUCCACAACAUUGUGCACGCCAUCAUCAUGCAACAACAACAACAACAUGUGGAUAGAGGUUUCGUCCAGCCUCAACCACAACAGUUGGGCCAGGGAAUGCCCAUGCAGCCUCAACAUCAAUUGGGCCAGGGCUUAAGCCUACCUCAACAACUAGCCCAGUUCAAGUUGGUUAGGUUACUUGUGAUUCAGACCUUGCCUAUGUUAUGCAAUGUGCAUGUCCCAUCUGAUUGCUACACCAUUAGUGCACCAUUUGGUGGCAUCACUGCCUACAACGGUGGACAAUGAAAUCACAAGAGUUGUACUACUAUAUAGAUGGAACUUCAUUGUUUACUCGAUUGGACGAUCGAUGUAGCAAUGGAAAAAUAAAAUGUCAUGCACCAUCAUAUGCGUGACUGACACCAAUACAAGUUCAAAUUUGGGAAUAAAGGCAAACAAAAUAUUGCACGUCAUGCCCAUCUAAUUCAAUAGGAACUGCAAUCCAUCAAUUCCAUAUCAAUAUUUCACAAGUAUAUCAACUCAGGCUCAGCGUGCAAUGUGAAAAAAGGAGCCUCUUGAUCCGGAAAAUUUAGUUCAGGGAUCUCGCGCCCCUAAUCACCCCCAGCCACCAAAGUCCAUCGACGGCUGCCAGGAGGUAUGAUCUCAGGGUCAUGUCCUGGGUCGAUGAGUUGUACCAGCAUGUGUCGCCGUGUGACCUUUUCCAAAAAAUGUGUCCGUGUGUGGGUUCAUUGUAUAGGAAUGGGUCCCAGAGGGCGGUGUGUGUGCGAAUGGCUUUAAAGGCCAGGACCAUCUGCUUCGAGAGGCAUGUCAAUGAAUGAAUGUUCUGAAUCCCAUCUGUGUUCUUUUGGUCCUCACCUCCUUUCUCUGAUUCCUCACUCCAAUUCUCUCAAAAUAUCCCAAAUCUAUCCAAAUACCGAGCUCAUUUGUGCGAUCUCGAUCAACGACCGGGUCGUGACACUCAGCGAUGGAGCGGAGGGACACGUCCGAGGGAGGAGGCGUUGCUCAUAGGGUGGCAUGAGGCUCACACUGGCUCGAUCGCGGAUUUGUGGUGGAGGGCGUGGUCAUGGCCACGGCGUCAUCAUGUGCGUCCAUGUAUGGGCACGAGGCUGAGCCGUUCCUCCUCAGUACUGGCUGUUGCGCUAGCCUGGGCACCUCCUCGUUCCCAACCCAUCCUCACCCAUGCAGCCAUCGGCAUGGCCGCCCGUAAUUGCAGUGGUGAGCGGCGCCGGGAGUAGGGGUCAUGUCGUAGGGCGUCUUGUUGGGACCUACCCGGACGAACCUCUCUCUUUCUCUCUCUCUCUCUCUCUCUCUCUCUCUCUCUCUCUCUCUCUCUCUCUCUCUCUCUAUCGGACGGAGAUGGAAGAUGAAGAGGACACUGGAUUUUUCUCCGGCGACCAACGCCAUGCCGCACGAACGGGCCCAAUCGGCUUACUGCUGGCCGAUAGGCGCCAUUUUUCUUUUUCUGUUUUUGCUUUUAGUUGUUGUUUUCUAUUUAUUCUAGCUAUCAAAUGAAUUUNNNNNNNNNNNNNNNNNNNNNNNNNNNNNNNNNNNNNNNNNNNNNNNNNNNNNNNNNNNNNNNNNNNNNNNNNNNNNNNNNNNNNNNNNNNNNNNNNNNNNNNNNNNNNNNNNNNNNNNNNNNNNNNNNNNNNNNNNNNNNNNNNNNNNNNNNNNNNNNNNNNNNNNNNNNNNNNNNNNNNNNNNNNNNNNNNNNNNNNNNNNNNNNNNNNNNNNNNNNNNNNNNNNNNNNNNNNNNNNNNNNNNNNNNNNNNNNNNNNNNNNNNNNNNNNNNNNNNNNNNNNNNNNNNNNNNNNNNNNNNNNNNNNNNNNNNNNNNNNNNNNNNNNNNNNNNNNNNNNNNNNNNNNNNNNNNNNNNNNNNNNNNNNNNNNNNNNNNNNNNNNNNNNNNNNNNNNNNNNNNNAGUUUUCUCAAAUUGUUUCACAAAAAUGUGUAAACUAUUCUCCUCGAUAUUUUAACAUUUAUAAAAAAAUAAUCAAUUUGGAUAAAUAAAUUUAAACCCUAUCUAUAUUCACCAGGAGCUAUCAAAUAAAAUUGUAAAUAUGUGAUGUUCCAAAAAUUAGGAAAAUUUAUAUGUGGCUUGUUAAUAUUGCUAAUAAUUUAUGCAAAAAGUUUCAACACAAACCAAAUUCAUUUGAUAGCUAGAAUAAAUUGAAUACAACAACUAAAACCAAAAACAAUAAAAAAAAAUGGGCACAUGCACCUAUCGGCCAGCAGUAAGCCGACUGGGACUCUGGCUGACUAGAUCUUGACGGUCCCAAAUCGGCCAUCUGGUAGCCGACAGGGCACUUAUCGGCUUCCUCCUGGCCGAUUGGACCCAGUUGGCUACCAGAUGGCCGACUAUGUAUUAUUUUAAAAAUAAUAAUUUUAGAGUAAUAUUUCUUAAAAUUAAUUAAAAAUGUAUUAUUUUUAGAAAAUUAGCUCUUUCUUAGAGCUCAAACUCUGGCACACAUACAUGGAGACCGCCAUAUGGUGAGCACACAUACGCUCCCAGGGGCGACAUCUCUCUCCCUGGCUCCUAUACCCUCUACACAACAAUACAUGGGUUAUAUAGCCGGACUCGCACCAGGUGUUAGAGCAUCUUCAGCCGUUCGGCCCCCCAGAACGUCGAAAAAGCGUUGUCUAGGGCUGAACCAACGUAUCUUUUAGGUGUGGGGGGGAUUGUGUUUCCAGUCGCCGCCCCCAAGUCGCCCCCCAAAUUGGCGCAAACAGGGCGCAAAGUCAGCGAUUUGAUACAAAUUUACACAAACACAGCAUAAACUCGGUGAUUUUCAUUCAGAUUUGAACAAAAAAAUAGAGAAGAACUACACCUACCCUAGCCUAGCCUACUACACCGUUGCUGCCUUCUACAUCCUGAGAAGCCUGUAGAAACGGGUGUAGUCGCCGCCGCCGUCGUUGUCGUCAUCGCGCGCCCUGCUGGACGGCCCUGCUGCACCCCUGGCCAGGGUCGCCGACACGCGGUGGGGCGCUGGACGGCCCGGCCUCGUCCUCCUCGUCGCUGUCGAGGACGAUGACGCCGCCCUCCUCGCGCUCACGGCGCCGGGCCUGGAGCUCCUUGUAUGCUCGGCGCUGGUGGCACACCAGCUCACGGAGGUAGUCCUCCUUUGCCUAUUUUAGAGCGGUCUCGUCGUUGCGGGCUCCCACGCCGACGUGCUCCGGCUGCAGGCCCGGUGUCGGUGUCAAAACCGGCGGAUCUCGGGUAGGGGGUCCCGAACUGUGCGUCUAAGGUGGAUGGUAACAGGAGGCAGGGGACACGAUGUUUUACCCAGGUUCGGGCCCUCUUGAUGGAGGUAAAACCUACGUCCUGCUUGAUUUAUUCUUGAUGAUAUGAGUAUUACAAGAGUUGAUCUACCACGAGAUCGAAGAGGCUAAACCCUAGAAGCUAGCCUAUGGUAUGAUUGUAUGUUGUCCUAUGGACUAAAACCCUCCGAUUUAUAUAGACACCGGAGGGGGCUAGGGUUACACAAGGUCGGUUACAAGGGAGAAGAUAUACAUAUCCGUAUUGCCUAAGCUUGCGUUCCACGCCAAGUAGAGUCCCAUCCAGACACGAGACGAAGUCUUCAAUCUUGUAUCUUUAUAGUCCAACAGUCCGGCCAAAGGAUAUAAUCCGGCUGUCCGGAGACCCCCUAAUCCAAGACUCGCUCAGUAGCCCCCGAACCAGACUUCAAUGACGAUGAGUCCGGCACGCAGUGUUGUCUUCGGCAUUGCAAGGCGGGUUCUUAUCCAAUUUUCAAGUGUUCGUAAGCAGUGUCCGGCUCCAUAAAUGUUGAACCUCUUGGCUUCUGUGCCCAACAAGGGCUUUCUCCCACGCGUCGAAUGAAUACGAGGCACCAGGGCAUUUUUACAUUCGCCCCCCUAACCGGAUAAAUAAAUUGUCUAUUAAAGGGAUGGGGAUUCUUAGAUCCGAUCCAUACCAUCCUCCCCCAGCAAGAAUCCAUCAGAGCGCGUUUCGGAAAGAUCCAUUCCAGCAUGGCCGACCUCCGCAGCUCCUCCUCCCGCCCCCGUAGCCCUAAGCCCGGUGAUUGGGAGAGGUGUUCAGUCCCGUACAGUCGAUUAGUCGAACUGCAGACUAAGGGAUUUCGCCCUCCGGUGUAUAUGGUGCCCGUUUGAGCCGGGCUUGCCACCUACAAUGGCGGGGAGCAAGCGGAGAGCUUUUCAUGUCCCUCCAUGGGGGAACGGGUUUGCCUUGUUCCUUAUUUACUAAGGGGACUCGGAUUUCCAAUUCAUCCGUUUCUCCGCGGGCUCCUGGAGUUCUAUGGACUCCAAUUACACAAUCUCACCCCUGCGUCCAUUCUACAUGUCGUCGGCUAUGUUACUCUCUACGAGUUGUUCCUGGGAUGCGAGGCUCACUUCGAGCUGUGGAAAAGGCUAUUUUGCCUCGUCCCUCGCAUACCGGAUACCUGUCCAGUACCCCGAAGAAGUCUCCGAAGACUGGGCUUUAGAAUGGUUUUAUAUGGAGGACGUUCCUGUUCCGGACCCUGUUCGGCGGGAUCUUCCUAAGUUCAACAAUGCUCCUCUGAAGAAGCGCCGAAGUUGGCGCCCACGGAGCCCCCAGGCAGAAGACAACGGAGAAGUCCUCUAUCUGAUGAACCGAAUCAAAGCACUGGCUCAAUCAGGAUCGACAAUAAUCGAAGUUAUGUCGAUUUGCAUAAUGCGGGGAGUGCAGCCGAUUCAAUAUCGUGGGCACCCCUUGUGGUGUUAUAACGGGGCGGAUGACGCCACCCGCUGCGGGCGUAAGGGUCCGGACAAUGCUGCCGCUCUAGCGAAAAUUCUGUCCGAACUGUUCAAGGGUGAGGAAGAGGAGUUCACCCGCAUCAAGCCACGAGAUGGAUUCUCCAUGUACAAUCCUCCAAGCUAGGUAAGUUAUAUCUCCCUGCUCCCAUUUUCCCCGCAUUCUUUAUCGUAAGUAUUCACCUUGACACUUUGCGGCACGAACUGCGAAAAGCCAUAAAGGAGGUCAGCAGCCCUUCUCCACAACCAGAGGACCCUGACCGGGCCCUCGACUCCGAACUUGAAGAAGAUUCGGUUAUAUUCGUGGAGUUGAUAGACCUGCAGUUCUAUCAGUUAAGCUGCAACGAUGCCAUGGUGGCCAUUACGGCCGACUAUCCCGGACUGCUCCCUGCGUCACAAGUAAGAAAAACCAAAAAUCCCAACUCCAAAACUAGGAUCCCCGUUUAGACACUUCACCCACCAUAUACACAUGGCAUUUUACAGGGAAGGCAUUCGGGAUGCCCUGCCGAACCCACGUCAACGCGCCAACAGGAGGCAUUGAGGCCGGGUAGGCCAAAAAGGAAGGCGGUCGGGACGGAGCCGCGGGCGCAAAGGUAUAACAAACCCCGCUCCGUGGUUGUCGUCUUUCUCGAAAUGUAAUGACGCCCGUGUUUCUUUAACAGAAAAAACGCUCGCCGGAAUAUGUCCGGCGAUAUUGCCAAUCACGCUUCCACCAGUCGGGCGCCAGGACCGGACAUGGAGGCAGAAGCCGAUAUGGGGCAGGCGCCGGAUAAUCCCCCUACAGAGGAUGCAGAUAGAUUAUCUGCUACAAACUCGGAAGUGGAAAGCGCCAUGAAUCAUAGGCGCCGCCGGGCCGUACUCCGUGACGCUUGUUUCUCACCAGAUGCGUUUGACGCCUUCAAUUCUGGAGAGGCGUACCUCCGUGCUGCUCAAGAUGGUCUAGCCAGAGACACGGAUCAGUAUGUAAAGGAUGUACGGGUGAGUAAAUCUGACGAUUUAUAUAUAUCAGUAGCCCCUAAGACUUGAAACAGAUAGCAGAACUGAUUUAAGGAUCAUCUUUAUUGUGCAGGUUCUUACAGAGAAGAAUACUAGGCUGUCACAGGAGGUGGAGGAAUGCAAGACCCAACUGCGGCCUGCUGUGGCCGCAUUGCAGGAACCGAAAAAGUCACCUGCUGGUAAUAUUUCCUUUAAAGAAUGAUGGUUACCAUAUAACGUGUGGCAUGACUGCAGAUCUAACAACAGAUGUUGCAGAUGAAUCCGGAGAGAAUCCGGCGGACCAGCAUGUUAUGCGGCAGCUAGAGGCUGGCAAACGCGUGCUGACUGAGGUUAGGCGGGAGAAAAACAAUCUCCAAGAUGCCAAUAUUAAGCUGAGCGUGGAACUAAAAGACGUUCGGGGCCAGCUUGCAGACUCCGAGAAAGAGAAUAAGCGGCUUCGGCACGGCAUUUUCAGUAAGUGCUUGAACAAAUCCUUUUAAAGGAGUUCGGCGAAGAAGCCGACUAACAGCGUUAUGUCUGUAGGUAUGCUGACGGGUCGUCCCGCAGAGGAAAUGCCCGGGUCUGCGGGUGAUCUUCUGUCCGAGCUGUCACAUCUGCACGAACAAGUUCGGCAGGUGAUGCAGGGUGUUGCCCAGGCCUUGUGGCCGUCCGUCUCCCUGCCAGAGGGUGUUGUCGAGCUUGCGGAGAAGCUCAAGGGAGCACGGUGGCGCUUCCGAUUAUGGAAGAUAUCAGCCUGCCGACAGGGUGCCAGAGAAGCCUGGGCCAUGGUGAAGACGCGGUAUACCAAGGCAGACCCAAAUCACAUGGCCGAGGUCGGACCUGUGGGGCCCGACGGAAAAGAGAUCCCCAUUAGCUUAGUUUAUGGGCAAGUAGAAUUAGCCGCAAAGUAUUCUCAACAGGAUUAUAAGCUAGACCGCUUGUUGGAUGGUAUAGAAGAGGAAUUCAGUCAGUCUGCAUGACUAUGUAAUUAAAGUGACAUGUAUAAUGCCUUUUAGCCGGAUUGUAGAUCAUUUGUCGUUGCGGACCUUUUCGCUUCAACCUCCGGGCCCAAUAGUCCGGAGUGUAUCCGAAUACCCGCUCAGUUAUAUAAGAACCGGGGUAUGUGUGGAGACCAGGCGUAGGGGUCAUUAGCGCUUUAUCAGACAAGUGCCCAACUAGUUAUGUUAUAUUACAUGGGUAGUAAGAAACAUCUUCCAGGGAGAAUAGUUCCGUUAAGGGUUCCUUUCCCUGGGUAAGCAUGCCCUAAAGUGCAUGUCCGGAUUGCGAUAGGAAACACAGGAAAAACAUCUGGGGGCAGAUAUGGAUAAUAAAUAAAAAUCAUCUUUUGUUCACCGACCAAAUAUUCCCUUAAGAACGCUAGAUUUCGGCUUCACCCAGUCUGAGGUACACAUCCGGCUGACCCGGCAGUAACAAUCGCAGAGGUGCUCCCCUUAUGCCCUAGCCGAAUGAACGGGAAUAUAGGGCAUAAAUACAAGAGCCAGGCAACCUAGCUUGGCCAAAACUUAAAUCAUAUCGAUGCAUAUAAUGGUGAAAAAGGUACAUGCGGAAGUAUAACACAUGUGUGGGGCAUGAGGCCCAGAUAAAUAAUUUAAGCUUCUGUGAAAGAAGCCCCCAUGUAUGAAGAGUGCGGCUAGCGCAUCUGUAAUGUGCCAGCGAGGCACAAGGUGACCCUUGAAGGCCUAGAGAAAUAAUAAAAGAAAGAAAGAAAUAAAGAGAAACAAGACAGAUAAUGUAUAUGUGAAAAUGGACAAAGGGAGGGGACUAACAUAGAGUACGGUGCUAGACGUAGAAUCUUCGGAGCUUGGCCACGUUCCAUGGGUUCGGCUCGAGUCGACUAGUCGAUGCAUCCCGCAUUCGGUACGCUCCACCGGUCAGAACUUGGUCAAUAAUGAAGGGACCUUCCCAUUUGGGCUUGAGCUUGUUCUUUUUCUUAUCCGACAGGUGUAGAACUACUUCACCAACGUUAUAAGUUUUGGCCCGUACUUCUCUGCUUUGGUAUCUGCGAGCCUGUUGCUGAUAAAAUGCGGAACGGGCUUUUGCUACAUCGCGCUCCUCCUCCAGGGUGUCCAAACUGUCCUGCCGAUCGAGGUUGGCUUCUCUUUCUUCGUACAUGCGCACUCAAGGUGAGUCAUGAAUUAUGUCACAGGGCAAGACCGCCUCUGCGCCGUACAGCAUAAAGAAGGGUGUAUGUCCGGUACUAUGAUUCGGCGUGGUCUGCAGCCCCCAGAGUACAGAGUCGAGCUCCUUUACCUAGUGCGUGUUAGACUCCGUUAAGGAGCGCACUAAUCUGGGUUUAAUGCCGCUCAUUAUAAGAACAUUUGCUCGCUCGACUUGACCGUUGGUUUGUGGGUGAUAGACUGAGGCAUAAUCGAGCUUGAUGCCCAUUUUGCUGCACCAGAGUUUUACCUCGUCGGCCAUGAAGUUCGUGCCAUUAUCAGUAAUGAUGCUGUGGGGAACGCCAUAACGGUGUACAACCCCGGAUAUGAAGUCUAUCACCGGUCCAGAUUCGGCUGUUUUAACAGGUUUGGCCUCUAUCCAUUUGGUGAAUUUAUCCACCAUGACCAAUAAGUAUUUUUUCUUGUGGGUUCCCCAUUUAAGGGGUCCAACCAUGUCAAGCCCCCAGACCGCAAAGGGCCAUGUAAUGGGGAUUGUUUGGAGGCCGGUAGGUGGCAUGUGACUUUGAUUUGCAAAGAGCUGGCAACCGGCGCAGCGUUGGACCAAGUCUUGUGCAUCUGCCCGGGCCGUUGGCCAAUAAAAUCCUGUACGGAAGGCCUUGCUUACAAGAGCCCGGGCUGCGGCGUGAUGACCGCCGAGUCCGGCGUGAAUUUCUGCCAAAAGAUUCCGCCCUUCCUCUUCGGAGAUGCACCUUUGAAGGACUCCGGUAGUGCUUUUUUGUACAAUUCUCCCUCAUGGACCCUGUAGGCCUUGGAUCGCCGCACUAUGCAGCGUGCCUCAUUUUGGUCCUCCGGGAGUUCCUGUCUAGUUAGGUAGGCCAGGAAUGGUUUUGUCCACGGGGAAAUAAUGGUCAUUAUUUCGUGGGCUGAAGGUGUUAUUUCGGUGGCGGAGCCUCCGAUUGUGUCAGAAGUUCGGUAUCGGGUAUUUUGGCCGGGUCCGGACUGUUGUUACCGGUGUCCCCUUCCCAUACUACAGAUGGCUUGAACAACCUUUCCAAAAAUAUGUUAGGGGGACCACAUCACGCUUUGCACCGAUGCGGGCGAGGAUAUCCGCCGCCUGAUUGUUUUCCCGAGCCACAUGGUGAAAUUCGAGCCCCUCGAACCGAGCUGACAUUUUUAGGAUGGCGUUUCGAUAGGCCGCCAUUUUCGGAUCCUUGGCGUCGAAGUCUCCAUUUAUUUGGGAUAUUGCGAGGUUUGAAUCCCCACGCACCUCCAGGCAUUGAAUGCCCAUGGAGACUGCCAUCCAAAGACCAUGCAACAGAGCUUCGUAUUCCGCUGCAUUGUUGGAGUCUGUAUACAAUAUUUGCAAUACGUACUGAACGAUAUCUCCGGUUGGGGACGUCAGGACGACGCCAGCCCCUAGACCAGCCAGCAUUUUAGAACCGUCAAAGUGCAUGAUCCAAUUGGAGUAUGCGCCGUACUCUUUAGGGAGUUCGGCCUCCGUCCAUUCGGCAACGAAGUCGGCCAAUACCUGCGACUUAAUGGCUCGUCGAGGUUUGUAUGUUAUGUCGAACGGGAGGAGCUCAAUGGCCCAUUUGGCAAUCCGGCCCGUAGCGUCGCGGUUGUUUAUAAUAUCAUUAAGUGGCACUUCCGAGACUACUGUAAUCGAACACUCUUGAAAGUAGUGUCACAGCUUCCGUGAUGCCAUGAAUACCGCAUAUGCUAUCUUUUGGUAGUGUGGGUACCAUGAUUUGCAUGGAGUGAGGACAGUGGAUACAUAGUAUACCGGCUUUUGAAGAGGGAAUUUAUGCCCGUCUGCUUCCAGUUCGAAAACGAGCACCGCGCUUACAACUUGAUGAGUUGUCGCAAUAUACAAUAGCAUUGGUUCACCGAUGUUUGGCGCGGCCAGGAUUGGGUUGGUUGCCAAGAUGGUCUUUAUUUCUUCCAAUCCGGCUGUGGCCGCAUCCGUCCACUCGAAGUGUUCGGUGUGCCGAAGGAGGCGAUAAAGGGGUAAAGCCUUUUCUCCUAAGAGGGAGAUAAAGCGGCUUAGAGCUGCCACGCAUCCAGUUAACUUCUGGAUUUGUUUGAGGUCUGUUGGGGUAGCCAACUAUGAUAAAGCUCGGAUUUUGGCUGGAUUAGCUUCAAUACCUCUACUGGAGAAAUGAAACCCAGGAGCUUUCCGACUGGUACGCCGAAAACGCAUUUUUCCGGAUUGAGCUUGAUGUCGUAUGUUCGGAGGUUGUCGAAUGUGAGCCUCAAGUCGUCUAUCAAAGAGUCGACGUGUUUGGUUUUGACGACCACAUCGUCUACGUAUGCCUCUACUGUUUUGCCGAUUUGUUUCUCCAGACAUGUCUGAAUCAUGCGCUGAUAUGUUGCGCCGGCGUUUUUGAUCUCAAAAGGCAUUGUGUUAAACUAGAAGGGACCGUAUGGUGUGAUGAAUGCCGUUGCGGCUUGGUCGGACUCCGCCAUCUUGAUUUGGUGGUAACCGUAGUAUGCGUCGAGGAAACACAAUGACUCGUCUCCUGCGGUAGCAUCAAUGAUUUGAUCGAUGCGUGGGAGGGGGAAGGGAUCCUUUGGGCAAGCUUUAUUGAGGUCUUUGAAAUUGACACAAAGGCGCCAGGAUUUGUUCUUCUUUGAUACCAUCACCAGGUUUGCUAGCCAGUCUGGGUGUUUUAUUUCUCUGAUGAAUCUGGCCUCCAAUAACUUGGCUAGUUCCUCUCCCAUGGCCUGUCUCUUAAAUUCGGAGAAACGCUGAAGAGCUUGCUUGACCGGCUUAAAUCCCUUUAGGAUAUUGAGGCUAUGCUCGGCCAGCCUACGUGGGAUUCCUGUCAUGUCUGAGGGAUGUCAGGCGAAUAUGUCCCAGUUCUCGCGCAGGAACUCUCAUAAUGGGGUGUCCACAUCGGAGUUUAACUGUGCCCCGAUAGAGGCUGUUUUUGUAUGGUCCGUUGGGUGGACUUGGAAUUUGACUAUUUCAUCUGCUGGUUUAAAAGAGGUGGACUUCGAUCUCUUGUCGAGUAUCACGUCGUCCCUGUCCACCGUGGAUCGUAGCGUGGUUAAUUCCUUGGCCGAGAGAGCUUCGGAUAAUGCCUCGAGGGCCAAUGCGGCUAUUUUGUUUUCGGCAUGGAGCGCUGUGUCCGGAUCACUGGCGAGAGUGAUGAUUCCGUUGGGCCCGGGCAUUUUAAGCUUCAUGUACCCGUAAUGGGGUACGGCUUGAAAGAUUGUAAAUGCCUCCUAUCCUAAAAGAGCGUGAUAGCCACUGCUGAAUGGGGCCACUUGGAAUGUUAUUUCUUUGGACCUGUAGUUAUACGGCGUGCCGAAUACCACGUCUAGUGUGAUUUUCCCAGCACAACGUGCUUCUCAACUGGGGAUAAUUCCUCUAAAGGUUGUGCUACUUUGCUAGAUGUGGUUCCAAUCUAUUUCCAUCUUUUGAAGAGUUUCCUCAUAAAUGAGGUUUAGUUCGCUGCCGCCGUCCAUGAGUACUUUGGUGAGUCGAAAGCCGUCCACGAUUGGACUGAGGACCAGUGCGCCUGGUGCUCGGGCUGUUCAGAAUUUAGGUUCGUCACUGGCAUUGAAGGUAAUAGCCGUGUCACUCCAUGGAUUUAUUACUACUACGUGGCAGAUUUCGGCCAUGCCGCGGAGUGUUCGCUUGUGCCUAUUAUUUGACGCGAAGGUCUCAAACACUGUUAACACCGUAUUGUUAUCCACGGGAUGGUGGUCUGUGGUAUUUGGGAUAAGAAGAUCCUCACCACUUUUUGCCACCUGCCGGAGUAUCCAACAUGCUCUGAGGCUGUGCGUUGGUAUUAUAUCCGCUGUACUAUGAAUUUUGCAGGGUUCGUUGAGCCAUCCCUCUAGUACGGUUCCAUGCCCUGUAGAGGGUUUUUGUUUCUUUACAACUGGCUCGGGGUGUCUUAUGAUAGUGCACCCUUUUACUUCAGACUGGGUGUAUAUUCAGAGCCGGAUUAUCCCAAAAUUUCGUUUCGGUUUUCCAGGCGCUUUCCAUCUCACAGUACUUUCGUACUAUGGACGCCAAGUCAGCGAAGCGUGAUAUGUCACGGCGACUUAGGGCGUUAAGGAUUCCCUUGUCCGUGCAAUUAUUGCAGAAAAGUGAGACUGCAUCUUCCAGGUGACAGUCCUUAACCUUGUUCAAUAGAACGAGGAAUCUGGCCCAGUAAUGAUGUACUGUUUCAUGGGGCUCUUGCCUGAUGUGGGAAAGAUCGUUUAUGUUUGGGUGGGUGCGUGGAAUUGAAUUCUAACCCUUACCCGAUCUGGGAUCCAGGGGCCGAGGAGUUCCUAAUUUUGGAAGUUCCGGUUCUGGGGUGCUACCCGAUAAUCCUGGCCCGCUGCCUGACUCUAAGUUCAGGGAUUGGAUGUUGUCCUCCCGCGAACGGGCGUCCAGCUCGGAGAGCUCGGGAAUCCGGACAUAGUUGGUCCUCAAGAUAGAGGAAAGGUCGCCGCAUUGUUCCUCCAUCACCGCAAUAUGAUGGGUGACCGUUGGAGAGUUAAUCUCCCUUUGAUCGGGUUUAAACCCAAUCCGGUCAUAGUCCGUAGCGACUCCCAAGGCGGCGAUGCGAUCCAAGAGCUCGUUUAAGGAGGCGAGCUCCACUGGAUCCAUCUGUUCGGCGAGUGCCGAUUUGACGUGGAGGCUGUUUUUGAUGACCCGAGAAGCCAUCGUCGGCGCGGCGGCCGAACAGGCGGUCAUGAUGAAACCGCCUAGCCGGAGAGUUUGGCCGACAGCCAAAGCUCCCCUAACAGUAGUACCGUCUUUAAAGACGAGACCAGAAAUCCUUCCUUCUGGCGACGGCACAGAGGAACUCUCAAUGAAAGCACCAAUGUCGGUGUCAAAACCGGCGGAUCUCGGGUAGGGGGUCCCGAACUGUGCGUCUAAACCGGAUGGUAAUAGGAGGCAGGGGACACGAUGUUUUCCCCAGGUUCGGGCCCUCUUGAUGGAGGUAAAACCCUACGUCCUGCUUGAUUUAUUCUUGAUGAUAUGAGUAUUACAAGAGUUGAUCUACCACGAGAUCGAAGAGGCUAAACCCUAGAAGCUAGCCUAUGGUAUGAUUGUAUGUUGUCCUACGGACUAAAACCCUCCGGCUUAUAGACACCGGAGGGGGCUAGGGUUACACAAGGUCUGUUAUAAGGGAGAAAAUAUACAUAUCCGUAUUGCCUAAGCUUGCCUUCCACGCCAAGUAGAGUCCCAUCCGGACACGAGACGAAGUCUUCAAUCUUGUAUCUUCAUAGUCCAACAGUCCGGCCAAAGAAUAUAAUCCAGCUGUCCGGAGACCCCCUAAUCCAGGACUCCCUCACCCGGCUCGGGGUUCGUCCGGACUAGGCAGAGGGAGCGUGGGGAGGGACGGGAACCCUCGUUGAUGACAAGGGCGCCGCUGCGGGUGCGGCGCCGGAGCAUCGUCUCCUCCGGCUCCGGCUUGACGGGGCAGAGUGCCGGUGAGCCGGAGCAGACGGAGUCGGAGCCCGACGACGAGGACGCCCCUGGCUCCAUUCGCCGUGGCGUCCAGGAGCUGCCACGGUGGCGAGAGAAGGACGGGCGAGGCGGGUACUCGAGGCGCGGCAGUUGGCGGUCUCGAUGUAGUCGAGGACGGCCUCGAGCGUGCGGCCUAGCACGCCCCACCACUCGCGCCGCCCGUCGGCGUUAAUGUGACCGCAGGGGAUGACGCCGUUGGUGGAGGCGAUCUGUUCUUCACGGUGGCGCGCGAAGUACAUGGUCCACAUCGUGUGGUUGUCGGCGGCGUACCUUGACUUGUUCCGCUGCUCCGGCGGCAGGGACGAGCGGAUGCGGGCGAUCUCGGCCCGCCGUGCCGCCCUUCGGGCACCGGUGGCACCGGGACGCCGGCGGCGCUCAGCCUCCACGUACCCGGCACACGCAUGUUCGGGGGCGCCGGAUACUCGGCCUCGUAGAGGAGGCACGCCUCUGGCUCUUGGAGAUGGCGGCGGACGAAGCCGUUCGUCGCCGCGCCGUCGCUAGGGAACCUCUCAACCAUGUGCUCGUCGCUACGAUUGCGCGAGGACAUAUUUCCCUUCUUGAAAACACUGCUGCCGAAGAAGUCGACUUAGUUUUAUUUCAUAUCUUGUAAUGGUUUGACCAUGGUUGCCUUUGUUUUAUAUUCUACUGAAUAAUUAAUAAAUAUGGUUGUGUGCAUCACAAUGAUGCAGAGGUUAACCUACGUUUAAAUAAAAUCAACCUAGUGUCUAGCAGUAUUCUCCAACAGAAACUACAAUCCAUCAUUUUUCUUUUGCACAUCUUCCCCAUCUAAUUUCCGUGUUGAUGAUUGUACUAGUUGAUUUUACUCUACACUUGUCAGCCUGUAUAACUAGUUGAUAUUAUUGCACGCAAUAGGAAGGAAUGUAGUGCAUAUAGGUAAGUCUGUAGCAAUCCUUUUCUAAUAAAUAUUGUACUACUAAAGUAAGUUGUGAAGACUAAUUGCUAUUCAACACUUUGAUGGCAAUGCUAAGGAGUUGUGUGAAAAUCUUGAAUGAUCUGCUUCUUGUAUCUGAUUCUAAAUAAAUAGUAUACGUUAGAUUUUAUUGUAAAGAUCAGCUGCUUCUAUCCUUAUACUCCAGCAUCUUCCUUUCUGAAAGUGUGUUCAAUAAAUAUUUCUCCACGAAAAUGAACUUAAGUGGACAGAAAAUAUUUUGCAGCUGUUCACUACAAAGGAUAUUGUGCAACUAUCCAUUCAGAAGAAAAAAUAUGUUCUACAAAACAUAACUCUGUCUAAAUUUAGCCAGUUAAGAUCCCAUCUGAGAUGGUUAAGUACAACAGCCAAAAUUGCGUUGCUUGUACGAUCCUGGUUACUUUAGCCAUUAUUAGGGUACAUGGAGUAUAACUAGACAGUUUCAGCGCCUCUUCUUGUCUGCUUUUGCAUCACCAGAUUUCGAUGGGCUUGCGACCAGGUAGAUAAACACGCCAACAAAGGAAACAACAGAUGCCAACGUCCCAUAUUUCCCAACAAUGCUCUGCAGAUGAAUGGUUGAUCCGUCAGUCGCUAAAUGACGGUUGAUUCAGGCUUCCUAUUUGGAUGUAAUACUAGAUAAGUUGGUCCAAGAACAGAGUAUAGUGAAACUACCUUAGCCUGAAAUGUUCCAUGUGCCAAAUUAAGGUGGAUACCAAUGAGUGAAGUGUCAGCACCAAAGAUAUAGCAUAUCCAAAUAUUAGAAUCAUGAAAGGUUUCGUUUUGAACUGAAUGCAGCGAUAUGAUAACUAACCAAUUCAAAUUUCUGCUGCGGAGGUUUCUCAGCAAGAAUAUCAAAUGGAAGGACGGGCGUAGAAUAUGCCUCCUUCAAUAAAGAAAAAGAAGCUAUUAAGUUCAGGGAACAUAAUAUUAGAAAAUAGCACAGCACAUAAUGAGAAUUAGCAGAAAAUAUUCAGCUUCUCACCAGUCACAUGUUCUACUAACAUAUAAAACAAUCAGAAUCCUGAUUGAUUUUUGGUACAGUGUGACCAAUUAUCUGAACAUGCCAGUUGAGUUUUCUAGUCAGACAUAAAGCUUUCACCGCAUAAGUCGCAUAAACUGGAACAAAGCUAGAUUGCAGCCUUCAUGACUCAAGAUGGCAACGGGGACGAAACCCAUCGGGUUUUGCCUUCCCAAACCCAUCCCCACGAAAAAAUCAUAAACUCGUCCCCGUCCCCAUCACCGUGUGCGGGGCUAGUUUUCUGCCCGUCCCCUAAACCCAUCGGGUUUCAGGGAACCCACGGGGAACCCACGAUAAAAUCAAAAUAUUUAAACAAACAUAGUGGUGACAAAGAAUAACACUUUAGCAGCAAAACAGGCACAUUUCAGCAGCAUAAAUUGAGUAAAUUUCAACAAAAAACAAUAGUAGAUGGUUCAACAGCUAUAUAAGUUCUGAAAUAGAACUUUUAGUUCACAAAUCACUUUAAAGUUGGAAUCAUUAUGGCAUCUUUCACAUCUCCAAGCCUCCAAACAAUCAUCUUCAAAUCUUCCAAUGCCAAAUCAAAGUGCCAAGUACUAGAGAAGAUCAAAACUCGCUCAAGCUAAAGUUAAACAUGAGAAAAAUAUGCAGAUUAGUAUAUGAAAUUUGCAAGUACUUGUACUUCAGCUGCAUUCCCUCUUGAAUGUCUUGAAGACAACUUCAAAAGCUUUGUCCUUAUUCAUUGUCAGCAUAUAUGAGAAUCAUAUAAGUAGUAAUGAACAUCUUAUGAAACAUUGCAGCAAGAUAAUGAUAAACUUUAUGAUGAUAUGUAAAGAAAGACACACCUUUAUAUUUGUUUCUUAUCCAAUCUUGUGAACACAUCAAGGCCUCUUAGAUUUCGGGGGUAAGAUGACUACGGUGAUAAUAAAAAUAAUGUAAUUUCGCGGGUAUUGCCGGGUUUCGGCUUCGAGGACUACCGAAACGGGUGUAAACCCACGAAACGUGUCGGGUUGUAUAAUGUGCCCAACAACAGCCCCGCGGGGAUGAAAAGAUGCCCAUCCCCGUCCCCUAAUAAGGUAAAAACAAAUGGAGACGCGGGUUUCGGGGCCCCAUUGCCAUCUUGAACCACCUCCGUCGAGAGCCGCUUGACGGCCACCUCCGAACGCGCGGCUGCAGCCCAUCCAUGGUGUCCGUCUAGAGCCUUACGAUGGCCACCGUCAAGCCGGGAGCACGGGAUCCACACCUCCGACGGGCAACGAGCAGUGCCAACCCUCCUCGUAGUCUGAUGAGCCACCGUGGGUUCACUGGCCACAGUCCUGUGGCUCCCGGUUGAUCGGGGGAUGAGCCAGCUAGCCCGAGGUGAACUGGACGAUGCGUGCACGCCAAGUGACCACAGCACCGGCUGGUCUCUUAGGCCAACUACCACGCGUGCAGGCAGUGCCGUUUCACCAUGUGUCCGCCGCGGCUGUUGAUGACCUCCCGCAUCAAUCUGCCGGUCGGCUGGAUACGGCGACCCUGCGAUGCACACAUUGGGAGGAGGUGAGCGGGCCGUGGUGGGGAGCAGGAGCAGCUGUGGUGUGAAAGGAUUGCCGCUUCCAACGCAAAUCACACCAAAAUCCCUCAGAUGAGCUUAACGCAGUUCACUUCGCCAUUCUUUUGCAAUGUUUUUUGAUGAUUCUGUGAUCCUGACCAACCACUUCUGUUUAAUUCGAUACAGUCCUACAAGACUCAAGAUGGCAACGAGGACGAAACCCAUCGGAUUUUGCCUUCUUAAACCCAUCCCCACGAGAAAAUCGUAAACCCGUCCCCGUCCCCAUCACUGUGUGCGGGGAUAGUUUCCCGCCCGUCCCCUAAACCCAUCGGGUUUCAGGGAACCCACGGGGAACCCACGAGAAAAUCAAAAUAUUUAAACAAACAUAGUAGCGACAAAGAAUAACAUUUCAGCAGCAAAACAAGUAUAUUUCAGCAGCAUAACUUGAGGAAAUUUCAACAAAAAACAAUAGUAGAUGGUUCGACAACUAUAUAGAGUGUAUUUCAGCAGCAUGAUACCACAUUUCAGCAACAAAGAUGAUUAGAUUACAGCAACAAGGAUGAUCGUAUUUCAGCCAUACAUGGUUCAACAACAUGUGCAAUUACACAAGUUCUAAAAUAGAAUUCUUGGUUCACAAAUCACGAGCACAAACGAGACGGAGCAAGCGAUACUGGCCACCCAGCGAGGGGUUGGUUUGGCCUUCUAUGUUGGGGGUGGGGGCUCGGUAGCUUUGGGUUGGGCCGCGUAGGAUCAGAUCUUGGUAAAAAAAUGUAUUUUGUCGGGUUUGCUGGGUUUCGGGUUCGGAGACUACCGAAACGGGUGCAAACCCACGAAACGUGUCGGGUUGUAUAAUGUACCCAACAACAGCCCCGCGGGGAUGAAAAGACGCCCAUCCCCGUCCCCUAAUAGGGUAAAAACCCACGGGGAAGUGGGUUUCGGGGCCCCAUUGCCAUCUUGAUUCAUGACAACACGGCAUUUGAUAACUGCGGGAGAACCCUGAAACUUGCCCUGCGCUUUGGUCUCCACUCUCCAAGACAGUUGUGGGAUGUCGUUGAACCGCUGGCCAUACAAACAGAAGGUACAUACCAAAGCGACUUUGCCGCUCAAUCCAAAAUUACACUUGCAAGUAACUCCACCAAACAAAACAUACCAAGGGAUUAGUUUCAUAAGAGUAUUAGAACUUUAGAAGAAAGCAAAUGUAAAGAUGAAAAUAUAUCAUUUCAUGUCAGCUAUAAAUAGCCAUACAUCAUGAAGACCCCCUUCCAUCAUCCAUCCUUCACAUAUUUAGAGCGCAAGCAUCCAAACUAAACAGUCAAGCGUAACCACAAAUCCACCAUGAAGAUCUUCUUGGUCUUUGCCCUCCUGGUUGCCACAACGAUCAGCAUCACCGCCACUGCGCAGCUCGACCCUAGCGUCCAUGACUUAGAAAGGCCACACCAAUCAUUUCCACAACAGCAGCCACUUCCCCCGCUACAACCAUUCCCGCCGCAAGAGCCAUAACAACCAUUUCCGUUGCAGCAACCACAACACCUGCAACAACAACCACUUCCCCAACAACAUCUAUUUCCGCAGCAACCGCCACAACAACAAUUUCCACAGCAACAACAAACAUUCCCGCAACCUCAUCAACAACCACAAUUCCCGAAACAACAACCAUUUUACCAAUAUCAACAACCAUUUACACAACAACCAUAACCGAAAGAGCAACCAUUGGCACAACAACAACCUUGUGUAGAGGAAAGACAACGACUGAACUUGUGCAAGGAAUUCCUCUUGCAGCAGUGCAACCCGGAGGAGAAGGUGUCGUCACUCCAUUCGAUGAUCCCGUUCCUCUGACCAAAGACCUCGCAACAGAAUAGCUGCCAGUUGAAGCGACAAGAAUGCUGUCGCCAACUUGCACAUAUCCAUGAGCAGUCUUGAUGCCUGGCCAUCCAAAGCCCUGUGCAUGCCAUCAUCGUGCAACAACAACAACGACGACAACAACAACAGGUUGAUAGAGGUUUUGGCCAGCCUCAACCCACCACAAUUGGGCCAGGGAAUGCCCAUGCAACCUCAAUAGCCACUGGGCCAGGGCUUUAUCCUACCUCAGCAACUAGCCCAGUUUAAGUUGGUUAGGUCACUUGCGAUUCAGAUCCUGCCUAUGUUAUGCAACGUGCAUGUCCCGUCUGAUUGCUACACCAUUACUGCAUAUUUUGGUAGCAUGACUGCCUGCAGCUGUGGACAAUGAAAUGACAAGAGUUGUACUACCACACAGGUGGACCUUCAUUGUUUACUCGAUUGGACAAUCG